GACGAACGCUGGCGGCGUGCUUAACACAUGCAAGUCGAACGCUGAACCCGCUUCGGUGGGGGAUGAGUGGCGAACGGGUGAGUAACACGUGGGCAACCUGCCCCCGGCUCUGGGAUAACUCCAAGAAAUUGGGGCUAAUACCGGAUGUGACCGCUGGCCGCAUGGUCUGGUGGUGGAAAGGGUUUCCGGCUGGGGAUGGGCCCGCGGCCUAUCAGCUUGUUGGUGGGGUAGUGGCCUACCAAGGCGACGACGGGUAGCCGGCCUGAGAGGGUGACCGGCCACACUGGGACUGAGACACGGCACAGACUCCUACGGGAGGCAGAAGUGGGGAAGAUUGCGCAAGGGGCGGAAGACUGACGCAGAGACGCCGCGUGGGGGAUGACGGCCUUCGGGUUGUAAACCUCUUUCAGCAGGGACGAAGCGCAAGUGACGGUACCUGCAGAAGAAGCACCGGCCAACUACGUG
rnacentral:rRNA from 1 species